rnacentral:tRNA from 1 species
GCCACUGUAGCUCGGCGAAUUUUCGGCUGAUUUGUAAUCAGCUGGUCGGGGGUUCGAGUCCUCUCGCCGGCU